rnacentral:miRNA from 1 species
AGCAGGUCAGGCAGCAUCUAAG